rnacentral:rRNA from 1 species
GACGAACGCUGGCGGCGUGCUUAACACAUGCAAGUCGAACGGAAAGGCCCUGCUUUUGUGGGGUGCUCGAGUGGCGAACGGGUGAGUAACACGUGAGUAACCUGCCCUUGACUUUGGGAUAACUUCAGGAAACUGGGGCUAAUACCGGAUAGGAGCUCCUGCUGCAUGGUGGGGGUUGGAUAGUUUCGGCGGUUGGGGAUGGACUCGCGGGUUAUCAGCUUGUUGGUGGGGUAGUGGCUUACCAAGGCUUUGACGGGUAGCCGGCCUGAGAGGGUGACCGGCCACAUUGGGACUGAGAUACGGCCCAGACGCCUACGGGAGGCAGCAGGGGGGAAUAUUGCACAAUGGGCGGAAGCCUGAUGCAGCAACGCCGCGUGCGGGAUGACGGCCUUCGGGUUGUAAACCGCUUUCGCCUGUGACGAAGCGUGAGUGACGGUAAUGGGUAAAGAAGCACCGGCUAACUACGUG